rnacentral:rRNA from 1 species
GACAGAGGGUGCAAACGUUGUUCGGAAUUACUGGGCGUAAAGCGCGUGUAGGCGGUUCGGAAAGUCGGGUGUGAAAGCCCCGGGCUCAACCUGGGAAUUGCAUUCGAGACUGAAUAGCUAGGGUACGGUAGAGGGAAGUGGAAUUUCCGGUGUAGCGGUGAAAUGCGUAGAUAUCGGAAGGAACAUCAGUGGCGAAAGCGACUUCCUGGACCAGUACCGACGUUCAGGCACGAAAGCGUGGGGAGCAAACAGG